CAAACUGGUUGCAAGUGGCAUCGUGGCAGCUGCACGCUUGACUUUUCUCAGUUCAUGGGCAGUUAUUUUGCGCCUUGGUUUUUCCACACGCUUCUUGCGACCCUGUUGACUAUUUUGAAUGAAACGCUUGAUUGUUCGAUGAUCACGCUUCAGAAGCUUUGCAAUUUUAAGAGUGCUGCAUCCCUCUGCAAGAUAUCUCACUAUUUUUGACUUUUCUGAGCCUGUCAAGUCCUUCUUUGACCCAUUUUGCCAAAGGAAAGGAAGUUGCCUAAUAAUUAUGCACACCUGAUAUAGGGUGUUGAUGUCAUUAGACCACACCCCUUCUCAUUACAGAGAUGCCCAUCACCUAAUAUGCUUAAUUGGUAGUAGGCUUUCGAGCCUAUACAGCUUGGAGUAAGACAACAUGCAUAAAGAGGAUGAUGUGGUCAAAAUACUCAUUUGCCUAAUAAUUCUGCACUCCCUGUAUAUGUUAAU